AUUGAACGCUGGCGGCAGGCCUAACACAUGCAAGUCGAACGAGUGGCGGACGGGUGAGUAAUGUCUGGGAAACUGCCUAAUAGUGGGGGAUAGCUCAUGGAAACUCGAAUUAAUACCGCCUACUAUUGGAUUAGCCUAAAUCCGAUUAGCUAGUUGGUGGGGUAAAGGCCAACCAAGGCGACGAUCUGUAACUGGUCUGAGAGGAUGAUCAGUAACACCGGAACUGAGACACGGUCCGGACUCCUACGGGAGGCAGCAGUGGGGAAUAUUGGACAAUGGGGGCAACCUGAUCCAGCCAUGCCGCGUGUGUGAAGAAGGCCUUUGGGUUGUAAAGCACUUUAAGCAGGGAGGCGUUACCUGCAGAAGAAGCACCGGCUAACUCUGUGCCAGCAGCCGCGGUAAUUC
rnacentral:rRNA from 1 species